rnacentral:rRNA from 1 species
AUUGAACGCUGGCGGAAUGCUUUACACAUGCAAGUCGAGCGGCAGCACGGGGGCAACCCUGGUGGCGAGCGGCGAACGGGUGAGUAAUACAUCGGAACAUGCCCAGUCGUGGGGGAUAACACUUCGAAAGAAGUGCUAAUACCGCAUACGUCCUGAGGGGGAAAGCGGGGGAUCGCAAGACCUCGCGCGAUUGGAGUGGCCGAUGUCAGAUUAGCUAGUUGGUGGGGUAAAGGCCUACCAAGGCAACGAUCUGUAGCUGGUCUGAGAGGAUGAUCAGCCACACUGGGACUGAGACACGGCCCAGACUCCUACGGGAGGCAGCAGUGGGGAAUUUUGGACAAUGGGGGCAACCCCGAUCCAGCCAUUCCGCGUGAGUGAAGAAGGCCUUCGGGUCGUAAAGCUCUUUCGGCAGGAACGAAACGGUGAGCUCUAACAUAGCUUGCUAAUGACGGUACCUGAAGAAGAAGCACCGGCUAACUACGUG